rnacentral:lncRNA from 1 species
GAUUUGGUUAGGAUUUGAUUUAGGGUUAAGGUUUGGUUAAGGUUUGAUUUAAGAUUAGAGUUUGGUUAGGAUUUGGUUUAGGAUUUAGGAUUAAGAUUAGGAUUUGGUUAGGAUUUAGGAUUUGAUUAGGGUUUGAUUUAGGAUUAGAAUUUGAUUUAGGAUUUAGGAUUUGGUUAGGAUUUGAUUUAAGAUUAAGAUUUGGUUUAAGAUUUAGGGUUUAAUUAGGAUUUGAUCACGAUUUGAUUUAGGAUUUCGGAUUUUAUUUGAGUUUGUUUAAGAUUUAAGAUUUAGUUAGUUUUUGGCCUAAAGUUUGAAUGAAGUAAGAUUUCAACUAGGAUUAAAUUAAGAUUGAAUUGAGAUGUAUUUGAGAUAUGUUUGUAAUCAUUCUAAUAU